CAGAUAUGUGCUGUUCUGAAGACUCCCUAUGACUUGGCUGUAGCGCACCUUGUAGGCACUUUGAAUGUGCCUCUUUCUUUGGGCCCCUACGCAACUCUGAGGUGUUCAUUGGCAAGAAUGCCCCUGGUCUACGACACCUUUGCUGUUUUAGAUUUAUUUAUCGAUGUUGAGGUGCCAGGAAAGGGGAUUCUCUCCAUUCCCGAUUCAGCCGGCUCCAUCAACCUGCCUCCCAUG